AUUCGAAAUUUGAAAUAAUUUAUACUGUGGAGAGAGAUGGUUCGCCGAAAUGUUCCGUGUAUUUGACGUCUUUUUAGUGUGGAUUUUAACUCUGUUUUUACAAAUUCAAGGAGGUGGAGGUAUGGUAAACUAACUAUACUCAAUUCAUAUGUUAGAUACCGACUAAAUAGUCCGUUCACUGCGAUUUUCUAGGUCUCUGUUCACCGGCAAAACGAGCCGAAUGUGGGGCAGUUUGGCGGACGUGUGUAAACCAACGAUGUGAAGCAUGUUUUUUAGAGAUUGACGGUGAAUGUUAUAGUAAGUUACAUAUUUUAAAUAUAUGCCGGUUGUAUUUUAUUUUAUGCUACACUUCAACGGGUUGAGUAGUUUCUGAAAUAUGCUUGAAUAUUAGUAUUAUCUAAAGGCUUUUAUACAACUUCCUUUGCUGAAACACAAGAGGAACAGUAUUGAAAUUUGCAUAAUGUCAUGUUGAUCUUAAUAGUAUGCUUCGCUUAGCUUGGAACUUGUUUUAUUAAAUCGCUCUAUGUGUACAUUAGAAGUUUUCGAUUUCCUUUAAGAUCGGUCAGUUUUCGAUUUCGUUUGCCGGUGUGUUGGGAUAGAGCAAAUGUACAGCUUUUUAGCUGUCUUCUCUAGCAAGAUUAAUAUUCAGUUUAUGUUUUGUUUGCAGCUGCUCGUAAAUGUUGCUAAAUGAAUGCAGCUGACAAAUUUGCAACAUACUUGAUCGCAAAUAGAAAAGGGAAUAUUUUAUGUGUUUUUAGAACGAUGAAACGUAACGAAAUGUGAAAUAUUGCUUGUAACCUGUACAAUGUUUUGAUACAUUAUACUGGAUUAUUAAAAUCAUAAAUCGAAACUUCAGGGGGCGAAUGUGCGGAGGCGUUUGUGAAAUCUCUAAGCUGUAGAUCAAUAUAAGGGCAUACAACAUAUAUAAAGGCAUUCCUUUUUCAUAUGCUACAAAAUUUAUUACUUUAGAACAUGUGUUUGAGCUUUUCUUAUGAUAAUAUCAGUUAAUACUUUGUAAUCGACCACAAAAUUCAUUGCCGUAGGUGUGUAGCGACCUUUCUUUGUGAUGGAUUGAGGAACGUCUGUAUAUAGACAGUCUUUGUUGUCAACAAACACCUUUGUCUUAGACUGUUGUUGUAUCUUCUGUACUUAUGUUUUCAAGUGGCAUGAGCUUGUACUGGCUUCUCUUUGUUGUCAAGCCUGCCACAAAGUUCACACUUCGGGGCUCAGCUUGUAGCCCACAUCCAGGGCCG